UACGUAGGGUGCAAGCGUUGUCCGGAAUUAUUGGGCGUAAAGAGCUCGUAGGCGGUUUGUCGCGUCUGCUGUGAAAAACUCGGGGCUUAACUCCGGGCUUGCAGUGGGUACGGGGCAGACUAGAGUGCGGUAGGGGAGACUGGAAUUCCUGGUGUAGCGGUGAAAUGCGCAGAUAUCAGGAGGAACACCGGUGGCGAAGGCGGGUCUCUGGGCCGUAACUGACGCUGAGGAGCGAAAGCGUGGGAGGCGAACAGG
rnacentral:rRNA from 1 species